UGCAGCAGUAACAGUGCUGGAUCCUUAACCCGCCGAGCCAUAAGGAAUGGAAGGAACUGAAGAAAGAGCUCGAUAUAUGUCUAUGAAGCAAAAGAUGAGAAACAACCCAAAUGCCCAUCAAUAGAGAUGGCUGGUGAAAUAAAGUGUGGCACAUCCAUUUAAUGAAAUACAAUGGAGCGGUAAUAAAGGACAGAGGCGCCCAGCACACUGAUAAGAAGAGAUGGCCGAGAUUCACUGUUGAAUGAAAAAUAAAAGCCACAGGACAGUGUGUAUACCUUA